rnacentral:rRNA from 1 species
UACGUAGGGGGCAAGCGUUGUCCGGAAUCAUUGGGCGUAAAGCGCGUGUAGGCGGUCCGGUAAGUCGGCUGUGAAAGUCCAGGGCUCAACCCUGGGAUGCCGGUCGAUACUGCCGGACUAGAGUUCGGAAGAGGCGAGUGGAAUUCCCGGUGUAGCGGUGAAAUGCGCAGAUAUCGGGAGGAACACCAAUGGCGAAGGCAGCUCGCUGGGACGUUACUGACGCUGAGGUGCGAAAGCGUGGGGAGCAAACAGG